rnacentral:lncRNA from 1 species
CGAACAACUUCUUGAAAAUUGAAAAUCGUUGAAAUUGAACACUUGAAAACUUCAAUUCAACAACUUCACAAUGUUUCACGAAUUUGCAACAGUAAAUUAAGCACUUGCACUAGAAAGAUUGAAAGAGAGCUUGAGAGAGAUUGAGAGAUAUUGAUGAAUUGGUGAAUAAAAUGAAAGAAUGUGGGGGUAUUUAUAGUUGA